UACGUAGGGGGGCAAGCGUUGUCCGGAUUUAUUGGGCGUAAAGAGCGUGUAGGCGGCCAGGUAGGUCCGUUGUGAAAACUCGAGGCUCAACCUCGAGACGUCGGCGGAAACCCUCUGGCUAGAGUCCGGAAGAGGAGAGUGGAAUUCCGUGGUGUAGCGGUGAAAUGCGCAGAUAUCAGGAAGAACACCCGUGGCGAAGGCGGCUCUCUGGGACGGUACUGACGCUGAGACGCGAAAGCGUGGGGAGCAAACAGG
rnacentral:rRNA from 1 species